CAAGAAGCCCUAGAAACUCGUCGUUCGUCAUUAGCGCAGUUCCUUCGAGAGCCGUUAGGGUUUCGCUCUGUUUGGCAGCUGAGAAAAUCGUUUCGCAGCAAUGGAAUCCGGCCGCCACGAUCAUGCAUGAGCCGCGGCAAUACGAUUUGCGCUCUGUGUAGAAGAUUUCUACAUGGGUUGUUGUUGCGAUGAAUAAUGUGCCAAAAUGCUAAUCUGAGGCUCUCUUGCUCUUAAUUUUGCUGUUUCCUUUUUACAAAA